rnacentral:rRNA from 1 species
UACGUAGGGUGCAAGCGUUGUCCGGAAUUAUUGGGCGUAAAGAGCUCGUAGGCGGUUUGUUGCGUCGGCUGUGAAAUCCCGAGGCUCAACCUCGGGUCUGCAGUCGAUACGAGCAAACUAGAGUGUUGCAGGGGAGACUGGAAUUCCUGGUGUAGCGGUGAAAUGCGUAGAUAUCGAGAGGAACACCUGCGGCGAAGGCGGGUUGCUGGGCUGACACUGACGCUGAUGUGCGAAAGCUAGGGGAGCGAACGGG